GCAAGUCGACGGCAGCACGGGUGCUUGCACCUGGUGGCGAGUGGCGAACGGGCGAGUAAUACAUCGGAACAUGUCCUGUAGUGGGGGAUAGCCCGGCGAAAGCCGGAUUAAUACCGCAUACGAUCUACGGAUGAAAGCGGGGGACCUUCGGGCCUCGCGCUAUAGGGUUGGCCGAUGGCUGAUUAGCUAGUUGGUGGGGUAAAGGCCUACCAAGGCGACGAUCAGUAGCUGGUCUGAGAGGACGACCAGCCACACUGGGACUGAGACACGGCCCAGACUCCUACGGGAGGCAGCAGUGGGGAAUUUUGGACAAUGGGCGAAAGCCUGAUCCAGCAAUGCCGCGUGUGUGAAGAAGGCCUUCGGGUUGUAAAGCACUUUUGUCCGGAAAGAAAUCCUUGGCUCUAAUACAGUCGGGGGAUGACGGUACCGGAAGAAUAAGCACCGGCUAACUACGUGCCAGCAGCCGCGGUAAUACGUAGGGUGCGAGCGUUAAUCGGAAUUACUGGGCGUAAAGCGUGCGCAGGCGGUUUGCUAAGACCGAUGUGAAAUCCCCGGGCUCAACCUGGGAACUGCAUUGGUGACUGGCAGGCUAGAGUAUGGCAGAGGGGGGUAGAAUUCCACGUGUAGCAGUGAAAUGCGUAGAGAUGUGGAGGAAUACCGAUGGCGAAGGCAGCCCCCUGGGCCAAUACUGACGCUCAUGCACGAAAGCGUGGGGAGCAAACAGGAUUAGAUACCCUGGUAGUCCACGCCCUAAACGAUGUCAACUAGUUGUUGGGGAUUCAUUUCCUUAGUAACGUAGCUAACGCGUGAAGUUGACCGCCUGGGGAGUACGGUCGCAAGAUUAAAACUCAAAGGAAUUGACGGGGACCCGCACAAGCGGUGGAUGAUGUGGAUUAAUUCGAUGCAACGCGAAAAACCUUACCUACCCUUGACAUGGUCGGAAUCCCGCUGAGAGGUGGGAGUGCUCGAAAGAGAACCGGCGCACAGGUGCUGCAUGGCUGUCGUCAGCUC
rnacentral:rRNA from 1 species